UACCCGCUGAACUUAAGCAUAUCAAUAAGCGGAGGAAAAGAAACUAACAAGGAUUCCCCUAGUAACGGCGAGUGAAGCGGGAAGAGCUCAAAUUUGAAAUCUGGUAGCCUUCGGUUGCCCGAGUUGUAAUCUAGAGAAGUGUUUUCCGUGCCGGCCCAUGUACAAGUCCCUUGGAACAGGGCGUCAUAGAGGGUGAGAAUCCCGUCCUUGACAUGGACCCCCGGUGCUUUGUGAUACACUUUCAACGAGUCGAGUUGUUUGGGAAUGCAGCUCAAAAUGGGUGGUGAAUUCCAUCUAAAGCUAAAUAUUGGCGAGAGACCGAUAGCGAACAAGUACCGUGAGGGAAAGAUGAAAAGCACUUUGGAAAGAGAGUUAAACAGUACGUGAAAUUGUUGAAAGGGAAACGAUUGAAGUCAGUCAUGCUCUUAGGAUUCAGCCGUUCUGCGGUGUAUUUCCUUUGAGUGGGGUCAACAUCAGUUUUGAUCGAUGGAUAAAGGCACGAGGAAGGUAGCACUCUCGGGUGAACUUAUAGCCUCGCGUCAUAUACAUUGAUUGGGACUGAGGAACGCAGCAUGCCUUUAUGGCCGGGAUCGUCCACGU
rnacentral:rRNA from 1 species